CAGGUCUUGCUGAAGUUCAUGGAUGUCAUUUUCCAUCAGAUGAGGAUCUAGCCUGAGGAGUUCCCAACUGCAAGGGAGAACUAAGCAUGUCUUCAAAUUUUAGGUAGGAAAAAACCACGAGGUGGAUGGAUGCUUGCUCUACAGAAAGGUGAAACCACAGGGGCUUUUACCACCACCAGAUCCCUUCAAGCUGAACCAGCUGGAAGGGCACUGAAAGGAACGAGUCAAGCACCUCUCUG